UUCAAUUUUAAUAGGUCCAUUAAACCAUUACAGCCAUUUUAAUUUAUUUACUUUUUUAAUAAUAGUAAUUGCGAACCAAAACCAAAAUUUAAACCUAUAUUUCUUAACUUAAUAAUUAAUUCAUUAAUCUUUCAACAUUACAGGUUUGUAAUAUUUAGCAUUAUUUUGUUUAUUAUGUUAUAUUUUGUAGAUUUUUCCUCACAGGAAACCAUACAUAACAAAUAACCCAAUCAAAAAAAUUAACAAUAAAUUCAGAUAUCCCCAAUUACAAAAGACUCAGUAAACCUAUACAUGAACAGGCGAGUAAGAAACAAUGGCGCAAGUAACGAUUCAAAAGUAUUACCUUCUACGAUGAUCCCUUAGCCGAUUACAUAAUCAAAGAAGGAACAAAAUAAAUGAUUCCGAAUUGAAGUCUAAAAUUAAUGACCUACUUGAGCAUAAUAAUGGAUUAUCCCAGUGUAAAAUUUACUACCUAAUCAAAAUGAGUGAUUCGGGAAUAUCUAGAUUGUGUUAAAUCAAUGUAAUAAAGCCGGAAAAGAACCCGAUAAAAUUGUUAUCAAUAUUCAUAUUGCCUAAAAAUAUAAACAUGCCAUUCCAAAAUAUAUUCUAUUAGAUGAAACAGGCUUUCUUGUCUUUAAAUUUAACAAUCAUAGUUAUUGAUAUCGACUAUUUCUCACAUUUUCUUUUAAGUUAGCAGAUAAUAUCCUCCAUUCAUGGAAAAUAUCGUCUCUUUUCCAAUACCUAUCCGCAAAUACAAAACAACAUAGCUAAAAAUGGCUCAUUAUACAUGAACAGGCGAGUAUAAAAACAAUGGCGCCAGUACCGAUUCAAAAGGAAUAUCUUCUCCGAAUAUAACGAUGACCCCUUGGCCGAUUACAUAAUCAAUCAAAGAAGGAGGAACAAAAUGAAUGAUUCCGAUUUGAAAUCUAAAACUAUAUAGUUUACAAAAUAUAAUAAUGUAUUGACGAUAAAAAAUAUAGUUGAAAAUUUACUACCUAAUCCCAAAAUUAAUGAUUCGGUAAUAUCUAGAUUACAUUAAAUCAAUGGGAUUAAGCUGGAAAAGGUUUGGAAUAGAACCCGAUAGAAUUCUUCAGAUAUUAGCAAUAUUAUUGCUUAAAAAUGAGAAACAUGCCAUUCUAAUAUAUAUUCUAUUUAGAUGAAAGAGGCGUCAAUUCUUUUCUUUAUUUUUUAAAAUAUAUUAUGAUAAUCAUAGUUGUCGAAAUCGACCAUUCCUACCAAGAUUUCUUUUAAGUUAGGUAAAAAAGGGAAAAUAAAUGCUCUGGCACUAAUAAUUUGUAAUAUUUAUAGUUUUUUUGAUAAAACACGGCGAGUAGCUACUCCGAUCCAAACUUCCCAUCACCAAACACCAUUUGGGUCGUUUUUGCUAUCUCGUUGGCGCCCCACCGAUAGUUUCGUCGGUGCACAGGUCUAGUGUUGUUAAACGGCUCGUUUUGAGCCGAUUUUUAAAAAGGCUAACUCAAUAUUUCGUCCAGAAUAAUAUUACGCAAGCCUGAAGAUUUUGUUUAUAGAAGGAACAAAGGUUUGGACAUCUAUUAGCGAAAUCUCGAUGCUUAGAAAAUAUUUUCCUAUCUAAUAUAUUGAAUUAGCCGUUUUUAAAAAUCGGCUCAAAACGAGCCGUUUAACAACACUACACAGGUCUAAAUAUAUUUUAAAGAAAAUUAAACACAUGAAAACAUAUUACUUGUCUGGUUUUUUUACAUUUUAUUUUUUAUAUAUUAAAAAGUAAUGCAAAUAAAAUUAAAAACCUCAAUAAAACUCAUAAAAAUCUGUAAAACUAAGAAUAAAUAAAACCUAGAGGAAAGGUUUUUAUAAAAAUUGAUGACAAUUUGAUAAUUGUUAAAAAUUCUAAAUUAAUAUUCAUUUUUGGGUUUCUCCUACAGGUACUGCAAUACUAAGUUGUCCCUUAGGGGAGGGAUGAGAAAGCCCAGAGCACCUCCCCAAAAUUUUUUAGGGAUUAGAUAUUAAGCUGAUAAGAACAGAUUUUUAUUCAAAAAAAGAUAGGUUAAAAAAAGUUUCCAAAUAACAUCCAUAGUAAGAUGUGUAAUAUAUAUAU